rnacentral:misc_RNA from 1 species
GAUGAAGAACGCAGCGAAAGGCGAUAAGUAAUGUGAAUUACAGAAUUCAGUGAAUCAUCGAAUCUUUGAACGCACAUUGCGCCCGCCAGUAUUCUGGCGGGCAUGCCUGUUCGAGCGUCAUUACGACCCUCAGGCCCCCGGGCCUGGCGUUGGGGAUCGGCGGAAGCCCCCUGUGGGCACACGCCGUCCCUCAAAUACAGUGGCGGUCCCGCCGCAGCUUCCAUUGCGUAGUAGCUAACACCUCGCAACUGGAGAGCGGCGCGGCCAUGCCGUAAAACACCCAACUUCUGAAUGUUGACCUCGAAUCAGGUAGGAAUACCCGCUGAACUUAAGCAUAUCAAUAAGCGGAGGA